rnacentral:tRNA from 2 species
GGGUGCGUCGCAUAGUGGCAAUUGCACUUGGCUGUAAACCAAGCGUCUUCGGACUCCGCAGGUUCGAGUCCUGCCGCACCCACCA